GGCUGCUGCAAUCAUUCCCUUCUGCUUUCAGGACCCCCAUGGAGAGGGAGUACAUACUUCCUGAAAAGGUGCAGCCCUUUUCAAGCCCUCCCUCAGCAAAGAAGUUUGUGAAUGUGGAAGAGUCGGAGCCUACAGCUGUAACGGGAGGCCCUCCAGAGAUUGGGAUGACCCCUCGAGGACGCGACAAUCACAUUUACGAAGAAGUGGAAUAGGAGACUCACCCCGGAGAUGGGCUGAUGCGCUGUAUGAACUUUUCUUCAGUGUCCUUGGGCUGCGAAGUAGCUCCUUCGGCAGGGACCACGGGGCUACCCUUUGGUCUUCCUAUUAAACCGUGCUUUAAUUCCUCUUAGUCCGUUGAUUUUGCUGCAUGUGCCACAGAACCCGUUUCUUGUUAGAAGCUUGGCCUGUUCUAGAAUGUUGCAUUCUGCAGCCCUCCAAAGAAAAAGUCUUUUGAAGUUAGCACUAUUUUAAUGUUAGGAUUAAAAAGGAAAAGUAACAUGUUCUUAAAAUAUAGUGCUUCGCAAGACAGAAAAUGCAGCUUUAUUAAGCUGGAAACUGAACUACAUAACUGAUCCAUCCUGAAAGGCAUAGUGGAGCGCU